GAUGAACGCUGGCUGCGUGCCUAACACAUGCAAGUCGAGCGAACGGACGAGAAGCUGGCUUCUCUGAUGUUGGCGGCGGACGGGUGAGUGACACUUAGAUAACCUCCCUCUACGCCUGGGAUAAGUUCGAGAAACCGGAGCUAAUACCAGUUGAUAAUUUGAUCCGCAUGGUUCAAAAGAGAAAGACGGUCUUGUUGUCACUUAUAGAUGGAUCCGCGCUGCAUUAGCUAGUUGGUAAGGUAACGGCUUACCAAGGCAACGAUGCAUAGCCGAUCUGAGAGGGUGAUAGGCCACCCUGGAACUGAGACACGGUCCAGACUACUACGGGAGGCAGCAGUAGGGAAACUUACGCAAUGGGAGAAAGCCUGACGGAGCAACGCCGCGUGAGUGAUGAAGGUCUUCGGAUAGUAAAACUCUGUUAUUAGGGAAGAACAUAUGUGUAAGUAACUGUGCACAUCUUGAAGGUACCUAAUCAGAAAGCCACGGCUAACUACGUG
rnacentral:rRNA from 1 species